rnacentral:rRNA from 1 species
ACUUCCGAAUGCUCUAGAUUAAGUUUGAUCAUUGCUCAGAAUCAACGCUGGCGGCGUGCCUAACACAUGCAAGUCGAACGCGAAAGCCCCGCAAGGGGUAAGUAGAGUGGCAAACGGGUGAGUAACACGUGGGUGACCUGCCUUCGAGCGGGGGAUAACGUCCCGAAAGGGUCGCUAAUACCUGCAUGACAUCCUGCCUUUGAACAUGGCGGUGAUCAAAGCUGGGGAUCGCAAGACCUAGCACUCGAAGAGGGGCCCUGCGCCUGAUUAGCUAGUUGGUGGGUGUAACGGCUCACCAAGGCAACGAUCAGUAUCCGGCCUGAGAGGGCGGACGGACACACUGGGACUGAGACACGGCCCAGACUCCUACGGGAGGCAGCAGUGGGGAAUUGUUCGCAAUGGGCGCAAGCCUGACGACGCAACGCCGCGUGGAGGAUGAAGAUCUUCGGGUCGUAAACUCCUUUCGAUCGAGACGAGCGGCCUCCGGGUGAACAAUCCGGAGGAGUGACGGUACCGAGGAGAAGAAGCCCCGGC